CUGUCUCUCUGUCUCUCUCUCUCUCCUCUGUAGCUUUUUUUUUUCUUGCACUUCAAGGCUUUUUUUGGUACUCUGCAAUGGAGGCGAAGCUAAUGAAAGCUUCCUCGCCAGUAUUUCCACCUCCUCAUACAUCCAGAUUUUUUAGGACAAGUUGCUGCUUCGUUCCCAGAACCAGAAAAGAUCCUUCUACGUUAACGCCGCUAAGCUUGGCAAAGAGACGCAUUGUAUCAAUGCAAGCAUUUGCGUCUUCAAUUGGGUUGGAAAAGAAGAAAAGG
rnacentral:misc_RNA from 1 species